rnacentral:misc_RNA from 1 species
GCAACUAAACACAUUCUCUAAUAGGUUCUCUAGCUGUUUGGCUAACAAAUGGGUGCUGAGCAGAAAGAUGUUGCAAAGGGUGAUGCAGAGAAGAAACCUGCUGCCGAUGCUGGCGCCGCCGGUGAUAAGAAAGAUGACGCCAAGGUCAUCUCCGUUUAUAAGAUAGACAUGCAUUGCGAGGGCUGUGCCAAGAAAAUUAGACACGCAGUUAGACGGUUAGAAGG